UGGGGAAUAUUGCACAAUGGGCGCAAGCCUGAUGCAGCAACGCCGCGUGAACGAUGAAGGUCUUCGGAUCGUAAAGUUCUGUUGCAGGGGAAGAUAAUGACGGUACCCUGUGAGGAAGCCCCGGCUAACUACGUGCCAGCAGCCGCGGUAAUACGUAGGGGGCUAGCGUUAUCCGGAUUUACUGGGCGUAAAGGGUGCGUAGGUGGUCCUUCAAGUCGGUGGUUAAAGGCUACGGCUCAACCGUAGUAAGCCGCCGAAACUGGAGGACUUGAGUGCAGGAGAGGAAAGUGGAAUUCCCAGUGUAGCGGUGAAAUGCGUAGAGAUUAGGAGGAACACCGGUGGCGAAAGCGGCUUUUUGGCCUGCAACUGACACUGAGGAGCGAAAGCGUGGGGAGCAAACAGG
rnacentral:rRNA from 1 species